AGUGAACGCUGGCGGUAGGCCUAACACAUGCAAGUCGAACGGCAGCACAGUAAGAGCUUGCUCUUACGGGUGGCGAGUGGCGGACGGGUGGGGAAUACAUCGGAAUCUACUUUUUCGUGGGGGAUAACGUAGGGAAACUUACGCUAAUACCGCAUACGACCUACGGGUGAAAGCAGGGGAUCUUCGGACCUUGCGCGAUUGAAUGAGCCGAUGUCGGAUUAGCUAGUUGGCGGGGUAAAGGCCCACCAAGGCGACGAUCCGUAGCUGGUCUGAGAGGAUGAUCAGCCACACUGGAACUGAGACACGGUCCAGACUCCUACGGGAGGCAGCAGUGGGGAAUAUUGGACAAUGGGCGCAAGCCUGAUCCAGCCAUACCGCGUGGGUGAAGAAGGCCUUCUGGUUGUAAAGCCCUUUUGUUGGGAAAGAAAAGCAGCAGGUUAAUACCCCGCUGUUCUGACGGUACCCAAAGAAUAAGCACCGGCUAACUUCGUG
rnacentral:rRNA from 1 species